AAAGAUUUUGGUCCUGUUUGCAGUGCCAUAUCUGGCCUGGAGUUGGGACCAUAUGCUCUGUGCAGUGUCAGAGUACUGCACAGACUCAGCAAUUGCAGAGGAGAUGGAAGCAGUCAACCAAGAAAUCACCAUGUUGUUGCACCUAUCCCACAACCUUUGUUGAGCCACAUUUGUGGCAGGUCGUGAGUAUGUGCCAUCAACAAAAUCGAUUUUGUUUUUGGCUGAUAGGGCAACAAUCAUUUUACGUCUCUAGCCCCCAUAACCACUACCCGAUAAGGGAGUGGAAACGAGACAUACCCCAGGAACAUCAAAAGAAUAUUCAAAAAGGGGACUGGAAGAGUCUACAGAAGAGGACGCACCAGUAUUUGUGUUAGAAGCCAUAGUCAAUGAACCUGCUUAAAGGAACAACUUUUCAACAAACACUGUAUAACCAAAACAGGUAUUCACACACAAUAACCAACAGACAGAGUAUAACCAAAUCAGGUAUUCACAGACAACACCAGAUGCUCACAUAUACACAGUCAAAUAAUCACAUACAAUACCGAAGAUAAGGACAGAGUUACCCUCCUUCUUCGCGACCGGAGAAGAUCGGCCUUCAAACAACAGAGAAACCCUAGGUAU
rnacentral:lncRNA from 1 species